AACGAAGCAUUUCGGACCAACGAGCCUUGUAGCGACAUCUUGUGGUUUCUGGCGAUAUAUCGUUGUUUUAUAUUUUACCCGCAGGAAAUCACAGAUGGCGCUGCAGGGUUAUCGAUGGGCCCGAACAUUUUAAUAAUUUUCUUUUGUUCUAAAUUAUUAUAUUAAAAUUAUCUGCAACAUUUAUUUUGAUAUAUUAUAAUUAUAUUGUUUAAAUUUUGGGAUCAAACAAGUCGAUCGAUUGUUGUCGUUGAUUCGGCGAAUUUAUGGUUUGGUAGAUUUUUUCUAGUUUGGCAACUUUGUUCGUGGUUCUUGUGUCAGACUGACAGCUGGCUGAGCUGAGAGACAGGUUAUGGAAAGUGGGGACGUCGCGAGAGCGCCGGAGACUCCACUGCCGUAACAAUAAUGUGGGCAAAUUAAAAGCCACGAUUUAUCGGCGACAUCAAGAGCCGAUGUCUCGAUUUAAAUAAACAGCUUAACCGAGAUGCAACAUCACUGAAAUCCCAUCGCCAAAGGUCCAGUGGGUGGGUUUAGGUUUCAUCCGAGCGAUGCCCAACUAUCCCGGAUGAACCUGUAAGUUAUUUUCUUUGUUUUACACUCGUGAGUUGCCUUGCCACGCUGUCAGCUGAACCACAUGCUAAUCAUUGCCAUUCCUUGUUGCAGAUGGGGUUUUUAAAAGUUUUUAAAGUUUUGUUGUUUUCUUUAAAGUUUUAACGUUUUAAUUUUCGAACGUUUUGCAAGUUUUAAUCUAAGAAGAAGUUUAUGAUUGGAUCAGACUAUUUCAACAAAUUUUGUGAAUGAAGAUUGCUACUGUUUUCUUCUGCGUUUGCAAGUUAUUUCAAGCUUCAUUUCGGCGGAGCUUGCCUUGGUUGUUUGCACGUCGAAGCUUUCCUUUGUGCGGCGCGCAUGUGGAUGUGCCGCGCCUCUCCUUUUGUCAACACACCGGAUAAGGCCCGGUGAAGGUCUGCGAGGUUGACCGGUGGACGUGCAGCCCGCCAGCUGCGUAACAGUUGGCCCGCUGCGCCGCCAUCGUCCAGCACGCCCUGGCCUGAGCCGGCCUCCACUCAUCACCUGUACGGUAUUCCGGAACGCCUCAGGUAGGCCUGAUAGUCGGAGGUCCUCGAGUAAGUGAGGUGCCUACAGGUGGACGGACAGUGUUUUAAAUAUAGUGAUAUCCCAUGGUAGUUACGGAGUGACAAUUAACCUGACGGACCAAAGCGCGACCUGUCUCCCUCCAUAGGGUGUUCACCUACCUAUGGUUGUACUUGGUAAUUAAAUGUUAUAAGAAUAUACAUUGUACGGAUUCAAAGGGAGUUUUCUUUGUCUCAUGCUCACCGGUCUAUAACAUCUAGCUGUGCCCUUCAGGUAAACACCACUUUAUAAAUUUUCUGAAACAUAUCAGUAUUUUAACACCAUUUCCUAUUUUUCCUACCUUUUUAUAUAGGUAGCAAAAGAUUUCCGUUUCAGUGGCGCCCUUCUUGGUGAAAUUGUCGCUCUGUACAACCAUUUUAGAAUAUAAGUGGUGUUGGCAUAAACUUUAAGAUUAAAUUUAGUGAAAACAGUGUAUUUUUUAUUAUUAAAAGUGAUGGGAUUUUGUGUGAA
rnacentral:lncRNA from 1 species